UCGGCUAGCUGCCUAUUUUUAGGGUGGCAGAUCCCGUGCUAUGCAAGGGGAAGGCUGAUGGUGAGAGGUGUGUGGGGACGCCUGUGCAGAGCUCACCUGCGCUCCAGCGCCGCGGGGGGUGUUUGCUGCUGCCAUUUGCACCGCUCCACGCCUGGGUGUCUGUGCAUAACUGAGCAGAGACUUAGCAUUUUGUGCACUGUUGUCUGCUGAUGGGUUUGGCCAGAUUUGCCUAGAGAUGAAGUGGGACGUGAUGGCAGCACUUGUGUGUCUGUGUCCUCCCCACUGGCUGCUUCAGCUUGAGCCGGGGCAGGGAGGGAGAAAUGCCAGGGUUUGUGUUUGGGGUUGUCUUUUAUUUUAUUUUUUAAGCUUUCUCUGGGUUUGGGGAGAACAUAUGAUCUUGCAAAACAGUUGUUUUUCUUCAAUUUACUAAACAGAGCCCUUUUUCUGUUCUGCUUGAGGGGAAGGCUGUGUGCGAGCACGGCUUGUAUCGGACACCACAGAGUCCAAGCCAGAUGUCAGAGGAUGUGACAAAGGGGGUUUCAAAAACUCCCCCGCUCCACAGCUGUGUAGGACAGCACGUAUCUUCCUACGCCAGCGCGCUGUUCUGCGUAGAUGGACUCGUUCUUCUAUGACCAGGUGUAUGGAAGUGCAUCCACGUGUACAAAUACAGCUUUUGGGGGGGUUGUUUGCUCUUCUCCAGGUGUGUGAUGUGGAAGCUUUGCUUAAAUGUAGCUAAGGGCAAGUCAUUCAUAGAGCAAAGCUAGUCUUUGCGUAAUAUUUUUAAUCUAAUAACAUACUAAUGGCUGGACGCAAUGAUCCUGAGGAUCUCUUCCAACCAAAGUGAUUCUAUGAUUCUAUAAUGAUGUUUUUCCACUGUCUCAGCUCAUGGAUUCAUCAUCCACACUGGUGAUGCUGAGAGAGAGGAAAAGAGCCUGUAGCUGCUCUUUUUAAUAAGAAAGCCUUGCACACACUUGAUGGAGAAAUGGCUCUGCCAGCAGCACACACACGCGCUUUCUUUCCAUGUGCUGAACUGCUUGAGACGCAGCUGAAUUUCUUUAAACAAAAGGCAUUUGUUUAAAAACAUUUUGACGAAAGUGUUGCAAAUGUGUGUGUUUUUUUCCAUAGGAAGCAAACACUUAUGGAACUGUCUUUACCUGAAGUGAGGUUUUCAGUUACAUGGAAUUUAAAUGUACAUGUUUUUCUUUUCCAUUUUUCUUACAGAAAUGUUUGGGCUUAUGUUUUGUCAUAAAAUUAAAAUUUUAUUUUUUGUCCUCUUCCCAGUAGAAAAACCAGAGAAAACGGGUACAAAGGGAAACCCGAAACAAUGCACCUGCUUCCCAAACGUGUUGCUGAGCACUGAAGGCCAUUUUGAAGGCCUUUCCUGGGGAAGGACGCUUUCUCCUGCACCCAGCCCUGAGCAGAAAUUGGCAUUCUAGAAAGGAUUUCCUAAGAAGGAAGGCAGUCACCAUGUCUCCUAAAGUUUCUCUAAAAAUACACAAUCCAAGAUCCGGGCUGAUCAGGGUGUAAAUGUACAGUAAUGUGCUAUUGUGCUGCGGUUUGGAGAGCCGCUCGGUGCGACUCCAGAGCAAAGGCAAGGGGAACUGCAAUUGCUUUGAUUUGCUAAUUGCAUCCCUGGAAAAAUACAAAGAGAAGUGAUCCUUCGUGCUCAGGCUGUGGCAAUUCCUGCAGUAAGAGAGUCCUUGGUUUUCACUUGGUGUGCAGGCCUGUUUAUCAAAGGAAUGACAAAUGUGCGUAAUGCUGGGGUGCAGUGGUUCUAUCUUGGUUGCUGAAGCUGGGAGGGACACAGCUCCCUGCAACUCUGCUCUGGGUGCCGUCAGUGCUCCACGGUCCUACGGCUCGUCACGGAGAUGCUCUGGAUCUGUGCUGGAAUGAACAUGUGAUAGGUACAAGCCUGGAGAGAAAGCUGUGUGCGCCUAAAACCUCUCCUGCCUUGAGCCAGGAGCUCCGGGCACACAUAUUUAGGGCAACUUCCGUAAGCAAUGGGGUGGCCUGGGCACCCCUUGCCAAUGUGCGCAGGUUAGAAGGGAAGCGUGGAGCACUUUGGCAGCCUGCUGCUCCAGUCCUGGCAUAUGGCGAUGCGACGGUCCGGGGUUGCAGACCCCCUCUGAACAAUGCCAGAAAUCAAAAACAACAACGAGGGAAAUGAGAACUUCAGAGUGGCAGCCGCUACUUUUUCAUUUAUUUAUAUUUUUUAAAAUAAAAGGCCAAAAACCAGCCCCCAAACCCCAGCCUUGGUCUGGGCAAAGAAACAGUGCAGGCUUGCCAGCACCAGUGGCUUGCAACAGAGCCCCAGUGUUUGCGGAACGGUGGCCAGGGUGUUAUGUGUUUGACUCUAAAUGAGGUUAAUGGAAGUUACAUGCACUCGAAUCCCCGUGCGCUACUUUGAAAACGCAGGAGCUGCCGGUGGUUAUUUAUUGAUUUCAUUUUCUCCCUCUGGCUCGUGUGGGAGGUUGAAAGUGAGAGAGCAGCCGCCUGCGUGCACAGGGCGAACGAGACGGGGGAAAGCGUGUGUGUGGAUACAGAGAACGUGGGGCUGGCAGUCAGGAGGUUUGCAGUCCCCAGGUUCGGGGCUUUUCCAGGCACCAGUUCAGGUGGUCUGUGGGGGUUGAUUGUAUGUGCCCCUCUGUCCUGGGCAGCUUGUUCCCCUUCAAGCUGCCCAGGGCUGUGAAAGCUGGCAGGGCAGAGGAGCAGAGAACUAAUCUUCACUCCAUAGAGACACUGGUCAAAAACCUGGGGAAAAGUAAACUUGAGUCAACUUAAAAGGCUGAUUUAUUUGUUAAAUUUAUUUUUAUUUUUUACCCCCUCUUUGUAGCUUUUCAGUAUCGCAGCCCACGAAACUUGGCGGUUCCUCAGGAUGGAGGAGGGCGGCUUCUGGUUUACAUGCAGCAAUCGGUACCCAAGCAUGCCUGAAACAUCUGUCAUCAGUGGAAACGAGCAUCGCUCUGGCAAGGCUCUUCUUUCUUUGCAGUAAAGAACAAGCAAAGUUGCUUAUUUGUGGUUAAUGCUUGUUCCAGAUGGCCAGAAAUAAUACAUGACACAGAGCCCCACCGUUGCCCAAACUAUUGAAGCGCUGUGGAACAUGUUUGUAGCACAAAGACAAGCUGGGGGGGAAUUGUUUAACUUACUGGUCUCCAGUUUGGAGCGAUUCUUUCAGCCACAAUAUAAAUGCAGCCUCCCAGCAAGACUAAACUUUCUCAUAGGGGAGAGCAAAAUUUGCAGAGGAGAGCUGUGCUCCUCUAUCCUCCUCCACCGAGAUGGUGGCUUUCACACCAUCAUCUUAGUGGCCACUUUGAGGCCAGCAUUUGCCAUCGAAGCAGAUACAGACCCUCUGCUUGCCAGCGCAGACAAUGUUCUGCCUCUUGUGUUGAUACUGUGGACGGGUAGCUGGUGUGCACUUUGUAUAUCACACCCAUGUGCCAUGUGCGUAUGGGAGUUUUUGCUCUUGGCAAAGCUUGGCCAACUUCUCCACCAGUGCUGCUGCUAAAACUCCUGGGAACUGGGGGGCACUUCCCAUUUCAGUGCCACAAUGUUGGUUUGAUUUACCAGUCCCCCUUGCUCAUUCAAGGUGUUUUUUGGUUCUUGCAGUGCAGACAAAGCCCUAACCUGCCAAAACCUUUCUCUGUGAAUUGUAUAGGGCUGGAGAAAGUCUUCUUUACUGCUUUUCCAUUUGCCUGAUGGAUCUCUUAUGAGGUGAGGGACUUCUUGCUGCGUGGUGAGCCGCCUUUCUGGAUUGGCGAUGUGCUGUGAGUAAUCUCAGCCAGCGUGUGGGCAACAGGAGGUUCUGGAUGAGCCUGGGACAGAAGUGGGUCAGUGGCUUUUCUGGCCCUCAUGCCCAGUGCAGGUUUUCUUUCUCCUGUCCUGGGAAAAGUGACCUAGGGAGAGGUCUGGUGUUUCAAAAGGGGCUGAGAGGAGAAAGAGGCAAAGCUAAACAACAUCAGUGUCUUAUGCCUGCAGAGUGACAGACAUGGAUGAUGACCCCCUGAUAUCCCUGCAUCUAUAAAAGAAAUUCUUGUCCGGACUGUCUGUAAAUGAGGAAACACUUUCCCAGUUGAGCCCUGGCCCUGUACUCCAGUAACUGGUGGUGACAUCCAGCCAUGUGGCCUCUGGCAGCUUCCAGAAUCCCAUUUCCCAUGUCACCUCAUGUGCGGCACGCUUGCAGGCAAAGGGUUACCUGCUAAGAUGCAGCUCUGCCUGAUUAAGAGUAACAGCAUCUUCCCCUGCAGUGAGAUUUGCUUUUUGAGAAUUUAUCACUUGGGAGCAUGACCCCAAAAUAACUGCCUGGGCCAGACUGGGGACCCUGUGCAUAAACCCUGUGCUCCAGCCCAUGUUCCUUUUGUUCCCAGCUGAGUCCUGCCUUGUUCCAUGCUCCAGGUGACUGCUGGCAGCGAAACACAGCCAGGGGACGUGUCAGAUGUGCUUUCAGGUUGGAGCAAAGAUGAGGCAAAGCCUCCAUGUGUAUUAUGGUUUUGACCCCAAACAAUACGCUGACGGCAUAAAUCAGGAGUUGGCUCAGACUCAUUUGAAGCUCAGCCCAGGUUUGCUUGAAACUCAGCCUAAUUUCUCCUGAAAGCAAAGCUGAGUGGGGAGUUCUGGGUCAGAGAGAGGGUGCUCCACAGGUCACGGCAGCCUGGAGAGCUGCAGUUUAUCAGCUCACAGCAGUUAUCAGGUCUCAUAAGCGAGACUGCCUCUCCUUCCAAUUUCUUGUGUGUACAGAUCCACGCAGACAAGCAAAGAUUCCCUUGGCAGGUCAGAGCAAACUGGGGAUCAGCAGCAGUGAGGAUCCUGGCUACCUGUGGAUCUAAACACAGGCACCUAAAUAUCCCUCCUUAUCAGCCCCACCUGGUAAAAAUCUUUAUUUCCCCCUAUUGCUGCUGUUCCAUGUGGGUGCCGGGUGCCCUGACCCGUGCACCAGCCCCUUUAGAUGUUGCGUUCCUCGAGCGACUCUGAUCCUCAGCAACACCAUAGCAGCAGGGAGGCAGACAGCUUUGUGCACUCUCGCUUCCCAGAAACGCAGUAGAAAAAGAUGGAAAACAAAAUAGAGAGGGGCUUACUGCUUUCAUAGUUAACAGCUGGGCCCUAAAAUGAGCUGUAAUUUUGAAAACCAGUCUGUAUUUCUGCUAGGAGAGCAAGCAGCCAAGCGAGGAGGAAACCUGCAAGUAGAAAAAUGGAGCUGAGCUGGUAAGUGUCCCUUUGUCGUGGGCUCAGGCUGCUGGUCCCCGUUGGGCUGGGGGCUUCCAGGUAGGGGUAGGUGGAAAUGCAUGGGUGGGAGGGCAUCCACAGGAACGGGGGAAGCUCAGGUCCUACCACCCACUGCUGUGUGAGUGGUGCUGGUUGGGACUGAGGGCUGCCGGGUGCUUGGGGCAGAGGAACCCAUCAUGUUUUGGCAGCUCUUGCCCCGGCAAAGCCCCUUUGGAUUCCAGGAGAGCCGUUUCCACAGCCUGCUUUCUGCAGUCGUUUUGGUUUUAUUGCCGUGGGGAGAAGGUUCCUGUAAAUGAGUGAAAUGCAGGCAGGGGUGAUAAAAGGUGCAAAUUGAACUGGCCUCAUGCGGUCCCUGGGAAGCAGCAGUGGAUGGAGAGACUUCCCACUCUUUUACAGCGCUCUCCCCUUUGUAGUAAAUUGGGCUUGAGGUGUUACUGCAAGGAAAACAAUAUUUUUCUGAUGGCUCCAUUACGGUUGUGACCAUCCCCUGCUGAGAGCCCCAUGGACUGGUGUUUUCUGUUCAUUACACCUUGCUUUGCAAAGACCUAGUUUCCUGCUGGCAGUCUUGUAUUCUCCAUCUUCGUUUUAUUUCCCUAAGAAAAUAGGAAGCUAAUUAUUUUCUUGCACCCAUGCCUAUCUCCCAAAUGGCACCUUCAUUACCAAUGGGGAGUUGCAAAGGUGGGGUGGGCAACAAGAUGCCUUUGAGCUCUCACCCCUGGUGCCCAAGGGCCCUUGAGAUCUAGCCUUUCCCCUUUGUUCUGGAGGAAGAUUUUUGGAGAGGAGGAGGAGACCCUACCCUGGAGACCCAGGGUCUGAAUCUGUAGGAGCCAUAGCCAUGAUAGGGCACCUCUUGCCUUUGGCUUCCCUGCAGCUCGACAUCCCAGCAGAUGCUCUGCAGCCUUUCCACAAAUGUUUGGGAAGAGGAGCCAAAGUUUAGGUCCUUCUGGCAGCGUUUCCACAACAAAUCCCUGACUCCCAGGGAAGACAGACGUUAUUAACCCAAGCUGAGUCCAUGGGGGGUCCCCAGGCCACUGCCAGGGGCUGCUGCUGGGGGCUCUCCUCCAGCUGAUGGUGUGAACUGGGGACGAGACAAAGACAGGGGCUCUCUCCCAUCCUUGCCAGCUCUGUUUGUCCAGAAAGAGCUGAAAUCCUGGCUGUUCAGAUGAGGAGAUGGAGUAUCAGAAGUUCCCCCUCCCUUCAGGGCUAUCUGCUUUCCAUUUGGCAGGAUUAAGGUCUGACCGUCCAUCCCUGCUUGCCAUUUGUCUGGCCUUCUCCAGUUUGGCAGUGUUCCUUGAUACUUGUUUGUCCUCUUUGAAGGUCCAUGCUCCACCCUGAUGGGGGCUCCUGGUUUUGGAAGCACGAGUGUCCUUACUGAGCCGCGUCCAGGCUGCCAGGCAGACGUUGGACAAUGGGGACGUGACUCAGCCCUUCCAGGACAUGUUUCCCGGUUCCCAGCUGCUGUAGGAAAUAAACAGGUCAACCAGAGGAGCUGGAGGGGCCACCCUUGGCCACUGCCUGUUGGAGCAACCAACCUGAGGAGGAGCAGAUGAUGGAAGAGUGGCUGUACGUGUCCAGAUGCCAGGAAGGAUGAAAGCGAACAUCUCUCCACUGGGAAGCAGCUGAUUUCUCUGCAAGUGCUCCAGGAGACCCAGCCGGUUCUGAAUGUCACUGUGGAUGUCUCAUAGGUCCCCACAAGAACCCUUGUGUUGACUCUUCGGAAGGGUAGCCCCAAGAAAUCAGCCAUAGGAAUGUAUUUACGAAAGAAGUUCCAAGGGAAGGAGGCCUUGAUCCACAACGGAUGCUUCUUGGCACGGAGUGAUGGGAGUGGAAGAAGAUAUUAGGCUGCUGCUGCAAACCUGCCCGGUAUCCAUAGAGGCAGAGCAAGAGGAGAGACCCAGUGACCCUGGUGCGCAGCAGGUGACACGCAGUGUUAACAGGGAGAAGGGAGAAUUGCAUGAGUUUGACUUGGAUCCUGCUGUGGAGCUCCCUGGUCCUGGAGAAUUGUUUUAUCCAGUGGAGCAAUAAGCAUCUGCCCUGGAGCUCUCUGCACACCUGCAGCCUCUGCACAAACAAGAUAACAGCAAAAAUAAGGCUAGCAGAGAUGACCAUCUCUACAGACUCCGAUGGCAUUAAGCAUGACCCAUUAAAA